rnacentral:lncRNA from 1 species
CGCCACGCUGCGCCACCGUCCUGUUCAAAUGCGCACAACAGAACAAGGUGAGUCUAAAAAUGACUCGUAUGCUGCCGCAUAUAUGAUGUAAUAUGACAGGGAGAUAAAGUUGAAGUCGGAAGUUUACAUACACUUAGGUUGGAGUCAUUAAAACUUGUUUUUCAACCACUCCACAAAUUUCUUGUUAACAAACUAUAGUUUUGUCAAGACAGAUUAUUUCACUGUAUCACAAUUCCAGUGGGUCAGAAGUUUACAUACACUAAGUUGACUGUGCCUUUAAACAGCUUGGAAAAUUACCUACCUUCCAACUCAGCACCUCUUUGCUUGACAUCACGGGAAAAUCAAAAGAAAUCAGUCAAAACCUCAGAGAAAAAAUGAUAGACCUCCACAAGUCUGGUUCAUCAUUGGGAGCAAUUUCCAAACGCCUGAAGGUACUAUGUUUAUCUGUACAAACAAUAGUACGCAAGUAUAAACACCAUGGGACGACGCAGCCGUCAUACCGCUCAGGAAGGAGAUGGUUCUGUCUCCUAGAGAUGAACGUACUUUGGUGCGAAAGGUGCAAAUCAAUCCCAGAACAACAGCAUAGUACCUUGUGAAGAUGCUGGAGGAAACAGGUACAAAAGUAUCUAUAUCCACAGUAAAACGAGUCCUAUAUCGACAUAACCUGAAAGGCCGCUCAGCAAGGAAGAAGCCACUGCUCCAAAACCGCCAUAAAAAAGCCAGACUACGAUUUGCAACUGCACAUGGGGACAAAGAUUGUACUUUUUGGAGAAAUGUCCUCUGGUCUGAUGAAACAAAAAUAGAACAGUUUGGCCAUAAUGACCAGCGUUAUAUUUAGAGGAAAAGGGGGGAGGCUUGCAAGCCGAAGAACAUCAUCCCAACCGUGAAGGACGGGGGUGGCAGCAUCAUGUUGUGGGGGUGCUUUGCUGCAGGAGGGACUAGUGCACUUCACAAAAUAGAUGGCAUCAUGAGAAGGAAAAGUAUGUGGAUAUAUUGAAGGAACAUCUCAAGACAUCAGUCAGGAAGUUAAAGCUUGGUCGCGAAUGGUUCUUCCUAAUGGACAAUGACCCCAAGCUUACUUCCAAAGUUGUGGCAAAAUGGCUUAAGGACAACAAAGUCAAGGUAUUGGAGUGGCCAUCACAAAGCCCUGACCUCAAUCCUAUAGAAAAUUUGUGGGCAGAACUGAAAAAGCAUGUGCAAGCAAGGAGGCCUACAAACCUGACUCAGUUACACCAGCUCUGUCAGGAGGAAUGGGCCAAAAUUCACCCAACUUAUUGUGGGAAGCUUGUGGAAGGCUACUCGAAACGUUUGACCCAAGUUAACCCUAUUUAAAGGCAAUGCUACCAAAUACUAAUUGAGUGUAUGUAAACUUCUGACCCACUGGAAAUGUGAUGAAAGAAAUAAAAGCUGAAAUAAAUCAUUCUCUCUACUAUUAUUCUGACAUUUCACAUUCUUAAAAUAAAGUGGUGAUCCUAACUGACCAAAAUCAGGGAAUUUUUACAAGGAUUAAAUGUCAGGAAUUGUGAAAAACUGAGUUUAAAUGUAUUUGGCUAAGGUGUAUGUAAACUUACGACUUCAACUGUACAUAGUGGGAUCAUGAUGCUUGUCCUGGGUCAUGUUCAUGAGGCACUAAACAGAAUAAAUGUAUUUUUAAAUUUGCAAUUUUACUUUUAAGUUGAGAGAAUUCAAAAAAUGGGGGAAUGUGAUAGAAAAAUGACAUUUACCUGGUUUGUUUGAUAUUAAUAGUUAGCAAUUAAUACUUAACAAACAGGACAUUUCUUUUCUGUUUAAUUCUGUGUUUUCAUGGGCUCCACUCCAGUUCCCUGCAGCUGAUCUGGGCGUAUGGUCACCAGAGAUGGCUUGAGCUGACAAAUGAGUUAAAUACUGCAUUACAUAGACAAUAAUGUGUUUUACUAGAGAUAGUUUAGGAGUAGAACAAUCCCUCAUUGUCUCAAAAGCAUCCUUGCAUCUGUGAACUAAACCAGAGUAGGGUUAAGACAACAACCCGCGUGCAGAUAACGACAAGUUGAACCCAGAGUGGCUUAUGAUGCUCCUUGGUCUGCAUGAGGGGGGGUUAAACCAACCAUGACUUGACCAAAUCUCUCUCAGUAUUACAUUUUCAUGACACUGGUCACCAGCCUCCAAAACACAACGAAGGCUGGUCACCAGUGUCCAAAACACAGUGAAGGCUGGUCACCAGCAAAAACACAAGCAAGGCUGGUCACCAGUGUCCAAAACACAACGAAAGCUAUUCACCAGUGUCCAAAACACAACAAAGGCUGUUCACCAGCAUCCAAAACACAACAAAGGCUAGAGACCAGCGAAAACACAACAUAGGCUGGUCACCAGUGUCCAAAACGCAACAAAUGCUGGUCACCUAAUAUCAAAAACACAACGAAUACUGGUCACCUAAUGUCAAAAACACAAAAAAGGCUGGUCACUAGUGUACAAAACACAACAAAGACUGGUCACCAGGGAAAGCACAACGAAGGCUACAUACCAACGAAAACACAAGGAAGGCUGUUCACCAUUGAAAACACAAGCAAGGCUGGUCACCAGCGUCCAAAACACAGCAAAAGCUGGUCACCAUCAUCCAAAACACAGCAAAAGCUGGUCACCAGCAUCCAAAACACAGCAAAAGCUGGUCACCAGCAUCCAAAAGACAACGAAAGCUGGUCACCAGCAUCCAAAAGACAACGAAAGCUGGUCACCAGCGUCAAAAACACAAGCAAGGCUGGUCACCAGCAAAAACACAAGCAAGCCUGAUCACCAGAGAAAACACAAGCAAGGCUGGUCACCAGCGAAAACAUAACGAAUGCUGGUCACCAGCGUCCAAAACACAAAAAAGGCUGGCCACCAGCAUCCAAAACACAACGAAGCCUAGACAACAGCAUCCAAAACACAACAAAGCCUAGACACCAGCGAAAACACAACAAAAGCUGGUCACCAGCGAAAACACAACAAAGGCUGGUCACCAGCGAAAACACAACAAAGGCUGGUCACCAGUAUUCAAAACACAACAAAGGCUGGUCACCAAUGUCCAAAACACAAGGAAGCCUGGUCACCAAUGUCCAAAACACAACGAAGGCUGGUGACCAGCGUCCAAAACACAACAAAAGCUGGUCACCAGCGUCCAAAACACACGAAGGCUGGUCACCAGUGUGCAAAACACAACGAAGGCUGGUCACCAGCGAAAACACAAGCAAGGCAGGUCACCAGCGAAAACACAAGCAAGACUGGUCACUAGCAAAAACACAAGUAAGGCUGGUCACAAGCGAGAACACAAGCAAGGCUGGUGACCAGCUAGAACACAAGCAAGGCUGGUCACCAGCGAGAACACAAGCAAGGCUGGUCACCAGCGAGAAAACAAGCAAGGCUGGUCACCAGCGAGAACACAACAAAGGCUGGUCACCAGUAUUCAAAACACAAGCAAGGCUGGUCACCAGCGAGAACACAAGCAAGGCUGGUCACCAGCGAGAACACAAUCAAGGCUGGUCACCAGCGAGAACACAAGCAAGGCUGGUCACCAGCGAGAACACAAGCAAGGCUGGCCACCAGCGAGAACACAAGCAAGGCUGGUCACCAGCGAGAACACAAGCAAGGCUGGUCACCAGCGAGAACACAAGCAAGGCUGGUGACAAGUGUCCAAAACACAACAAAGGCUGGUGACAAGUGUCCAAAACACAACAAAGGCUGGUGACAAGUGUCCAAAACACAACGAAGGCUGGAUAUCAGCGUCCAAAACACAACAAAGGCUGGACACCAGCAAAAACACAAGCAAGGCUGGUCACCAGCAAAAACACAAGCAAGGCUGGUCACCAGCAAAAACACAAGCAAGGCUGGUCACCAGCAAAAACACAAGCAAGGCUGGUCACCAGCGAAAACACAACAAAGGCUGGUCACCAGUUUUCCAAAACACAACAAAGGCUGGUCACCAGUUUUCCAAAACACAAGGAAACCUGGUUACCAGUGUCCAAAACACAACAAAGGCUGGUGACUAGCGUCCAAAACACAAUGACAACACUACAAAAGCUGGUCACCAGUGUCCAAAACACAACGAAAGCUGGUCACCAGUGUCCAAAACGCAAAAAAGGCAGGUCCCCAGUGUCCAAAACACAACGAAGGCUUGUCACCAGUGUCCAAAAUACAACGAAGGCAGGUCACCAGUGUCUAAAACACAAUGAAGGCUGGUUACCAUCGAAAACACGAAGCCUGCUCACCCAGGCAUGCUGGUUUAUGCAGAUUUUUUCAACAUCAGUAAGUGAGGCUGAAGGACUCCAGGAGCGACUGGAAAAGGAAAUAGCUGAGCUAAAGGAGCAGAAGCACUGAGCUGGAGCAGCUCUCACACACAGAGGAUCACAUCCAUGUCCUUCAGGUGACAUAAAUGGCUCUCUAUACAUAGCAGCAGGUAUCACUGCUGAAAGUGACAAUAAUAUUUUCCCUGUUUUCAGUCCCUCUGCGACUUUCCUGGAUCUGAGGCCUUGCUCAGCAUUACUGUCAACCAACAUACCUCCUUUGAAGAUGUGAAGAAAUUAGUUUCUGAUCUGCAAAAUCAAAUUGAAGAUACAGUGCAUUCGGAAAGUAUUCAGACCCCUUGACUUUUCCCACAUUUUCUUACGUUACAGCCUUAUUCUAAAAUAGAUUUUUUUUAAAUCCUCAUCAAUCUAAACACAAUACGCCAUAAUGACAAAGCAAAAACUUAAUUUUUUCCAAAUGUACUAAAAAUGUAAAACGGAAAUAUACCAUUUACAUAAGUAUUCAGACCUUUUAAUCAGUACUUUGUUGAAUCACCUUUGGCAGCGAUUACAGCCUCGAGUCUUCUUUGGUAUGACGCUACAAGUUUGGCACACCUGCAUUUCUGGGGCUCUCGAGUGCCACAAAUCAAAUCUCAUUUUAUUGGUCACAUACACAUGGUUAGCAGAAGUUGCAGUGAGCGUCGCGAAAUGCUUGUGCUUCUAGUUGACAGUGCAGCAAUAUCUAACAUGUAAUCUAACAAUUACCCAACAACUCCAGUAAUAUCUAACAAGUAAUCUAACAAUUCCCCAACACCUACCUAAUACAGACAAAUCUAAAGGGGUGAAUGAGAAUAUGUACAUAUAAGUACAUGGAUGAGCGACGACGGAGCGGCAUAGGCAAGGUGCAGUAGAUGGUAUAAAAUAUAUAUACAUGUGAUAUGAGUAAUGUAAGAUAUGUAAACAUUAUUAAAGUGGCAUUAUUUAAAGUGUUAGGUUCUAAUUUUAAGAGUAAAUGACUCCACGGACACUAGGAAAGCUUAAACAACUUUAAUUCUUCCCAAAGGGUCGAUACAGCUGCAUUCAGACAAACGACAUUUCACACAAGCACUGAUAUUUAACCCUUUCUCCUAGGUUGAGUCUCCUCCACAACUGAACAGACCAUUGUAUCUCUGUUGCUAGACAGAACCUUAGUGAUAUCUGUUGUUCCUCACUUCAUCUAACCUGACCUCUAGCCCAAAGUGCUCACUCCUCCCCAACUCAAGGCUGUCAUGGUUAUUGAUACCAGACUGUGUCUCCUCUCCUCCUAGAGGAUCCCUGAUGGCUAACAAUAACAUAUCCUGACAUAAUGUAAAUGCUAUACAUUACCCUCUCUCCCUCAGUGACAUUGUUAGGUUCUAAGAUUUCCACCCGUCUCCCCUACACUCUCCAAAGCCAUCUAACUCCUACAGAUAACCAUUAACUUCUGAUGUAAAAACCAGUCUCGUUCACUGUUAGACACUAUCCUUAUGAGUAUAACAAUGUUCCAGGUUUCACCCAGAAUCUAACAGUCUCCUGUCUGGAACAAUAGCUUCCUAAUGUUCAACUUACAUAAACCUUGAAAUUACUUAUAAAUGAACAAACAAUGUGCAUCUGUAAAAGUUUGUCAGGGUUUUGGGUGGGUGACAAGCCAAAUUUCUUCAGGCACCCGAGGUUGAAGAGGCACUGUUGAGCCUUCUUCACCACACUGUCUGUGUGGGUGGACCAUUUCAGUUUGUCUGUGAUAUGUACACCGAGGAACUUAAAACGUUAUGCCUUCUCCACUGCUGUCUCUUUGAUGAGGAUAGGGGGUGCUCCCUCUGCUGUUUCCUGAAGACCACGAUCAUCUCCUCUGUUUUGUUGACGUUGAGUGAGAGGUUGUUUUCCUGACAGCACACUCCGAGUGCCCUCACCUCCUCCCUGUAGGCCGUCUCGUCUUUGUUGGUGAUCAGGCCCACUACUGUUGUGUCGUCUGCAAACUUGAUGAUUGAGUUGGAGGAGUGCAUGGCCACGCAGUCGUGGGUGAACAGGGAGUACAGGAGAGGCCUGAGCACACACCCUUGUGGGGCCCCAGUGUUGAGGGUCAGAGAAGUUGAGAUGUUGUUUCCUACCUUCACCACCUGGGGCCGUCAUUGUAAAUAAGAAUAUGUUCUUAACUGACUCACUAGGCAUGUCAGUUACGAACAAAUUCUUAUUUACAAUGACGGUCUACCAAAAGGCAAAAGGCCUCCUUGUGGGGACGGGGACUGGAAUUAAAAAUACAAAUAAAUGUAAUAACAAUAUAGGACAAAACACACAUCAUGACAAGAGAGACAACACAACACUACAUAAAGAGAGACCUAAGACAACCAAGCAUGGCAGCAACACAUGACAACACAGCAUGGUAGAAACACAACAUGACAACAACAUGGUAGCAACACAAUAUGGUAGCAGCACAACAGGGUACAAACAUUAUUGGGUACAGACAACAGCACAAAGGGCAAGAAGGUAGAGACAACAAUACAUCACACAAAGCAGCCACAACUGUCAGUAAGUGUCCAUGAUUGAGUCUUUGAAUGAAUAGAAUGAGAAAAAAAAACUGUCCAGUUUGAGUGUUUGUUGCAGCUCGUUCCAGUCGCUAGCUGCAGCGAACAGAAAAGAUGAGCGACCCAGGAAUGUGUGUGUUUUGAGGACCUUUAACAGAAUGUGCCUUGCAGAACGGGUGUUGUAUGUGGAGGAUGAGGGCUGCAGUAGAUAUCUCAGAUGGGGGACGUGAGGCCUAAGAGGGUUUUAUAAAUAAGCAUCAAUUAUGAAAUAUGAUAUAGGUGGGAAAAGGGUACUGUUUUUCAUUCAUAGCAGCCAUUGAUUCAUUACAUGUAUUAAAUUCAUGCUGGAUCAUUACCAUGAAAAGGAAGUGAUAGUAAACUUACUUAUCAAAAUGUGAAAAUAUUAUUAAAUGAUUUUUGACAUUGCGUAUACUUUGAAUAAAUACAUAAAAGAUAAACAUUAACAUUUUCCUGUGAACCAGUUACUACAUUUCACAUUGAAUGAUAAAGGCACUCAUGUAGAAUGUCAAAUGUAAUAUCAUGAACAAAAAUAGCUCAAUGCUUAUUCAUCUUCCAAAGAAUCGAAUGAAACUAGAUGUACGUACCUCAGUCAGUCAGUUAGAAGCUAACUUCUCCCGCCUGUUGAUAUGCUGCAGAUCCAGUGAGGGGGGAUGGAAUCCAACAACCUGUAUGAAACCUGAGAGGGAGGGAUCCACUACCAGCGCUUUAAAUAAUCACCCAUUUACUCUGCGGUUGCCAAGGUACCGUUACUACAGCGAAGUAGGCUGUACACUGACCCUGUCACAUCUUCCACUCCUUUCAGGAAACCAUGAAUUGGGAUCAUAGUGGGAGAAUCUCAAUAUUCUCUUGAUUCCUCGCGUCCUCUCUCCUUGCCUCCAAUGCAGUUUGAGGCUAGGAAAGAGGAUGCGAGGAAUCAAGGGAAUACUAUUGAGAUGCAUCCAUGGUGGUAUUAUAGAAUCAAACAUUGAACUGUGCAUGCGUUUACCUUUGAUGGCCUGAUUAGGUAAUGCCUACUCAAUGGGUUACAUCAGAUGUGAAUGGUGUUCAUCAGGUGUUUCCACAUUGAGUUCAAACCACGUUCAUACAUCAUUAAUAUCAAUAAUAUGUGGGCUUGUUCUGAUUAACUAAUAGUUCACCUGGGGUCGAGGAAACAAAAUAUCCUGAUGGUGUUAAAAGUCUCUGUGUGCGAAUCUUAAAUUGUACUAUUUUACCUAUAUAGUACACUACUUGUGACCAGUCCUAUAGGCCCUGGUCAAAAGUAGUGCACUAUAAAGGUAGUGCACAUUUGGGAUGGAC